UACGUAGGGGGCGAGCGUUGUCCGGAAUUAUUGGGCGUAAAGAGCGUGUAGGCGGUUCGGUAAGUCUGCCGUGAAAACCUGGGGCUCAACCCUGGGCGUGCGGUGGAUACUGCCGGGCUAGGGGGUGGUAGAGGCGAGUGGAAUUCCCGGUGUAGCGGUGAAAUGCGCAGAUAUCGGGAGGAACACCAAUGGCGAAGGCAGCUCGCUGGGACGGUACUGACGCUGAGACGCGAAAGCGUGGGGAGCGAACAGG
rnacentral:rRNA from 1 species